AGAGUUUGAUCAUGGCUCAGAUUGAACGCUGGCGGAAUGCUUUACACAUGCAAGUCGAACGGCAGCACGGGUGCUUGCACCUGGUGGCGAGUGGCGAACGGGUGAGUAAUAUAUCGGAACGUAUCCAAUAAUGGGGGAUAACGAGUCGAAAGAUUCGCUAAUACCGCAUACGCCCUACGGGGGAAAGCAGGGGAUCUUCGGACCUUGCGUUAAUGGAGCGGCCGAUAUCUGAUUAGCUAGUUGGUGGGGUAAAGGCCCACCAAGGCUUCGAUCAGUAGCUGGUCUGAGAGGACGACCAGCCACACUGGAACUGAGACACGGUCCAGACUCCUACGGGAGGCAGCAGUGGGGAAUUUUGGACAAUGGGCGCAAGCCUGAUCCAGCCAUUCCGCGUGAGUGAAGAAGGCCUUCGGGUUGUAAAGCUCUUUCGCAAGGGAAGAAAACUUACCUUCUAAUAAAGGGUGAGGCUGACGGUACCUUGAUAAGAAGCACCGGCUAACUACGUGCCAGCAGCCGCGGUAAUACGUAGGGUGCGAGCGUUAAUCGGAAUUACUGGGCGUAAAGCGUGCGCAGGCGGUUUUGUAAGUCAGAUGUGAAAGCCCCGGGCUCAACCUGGGAACUGCGUUUGAAACUACAAGGCUAGAGUAUGGCAGAGGGGGGUAGAAUUCCACGUGUAGCAGUGAAAUGCGUAGAGAUGUGGAGGAAUACCAAUGGCGAAGGCAGCCCCCUGGGUCAAUACUGACGCUCAUGCACGAAAGCGUGGGGAGCAAACAGGAUUAGAUACCCUAGUAGUCC
rnacentral:rRNA from 1 species